GACAGAGGUGCCGAGCGUUAGGCGGAAUCACUGGGCUUAAAGCGUGUGUAGGCGGCCCGUUAAGUGUCCGAGUGAAAUCCCCCGGCUCAACCGGGGAACCGCCGGGCAUACUGGCGGGCUUGGGCCGCUCAGGGGCAGACGGAACAGGCGGUGGAGCGGUGAAAUGCGUAGAUAUCGGGAGGAACACCUGUGGCGAAAGCGGCUCACUGGACCACAACUGACGCUGAGGCGCGAAAGCUAGGGGAGCAAACAGG
rnacentral:rRNA from 1 species